rnacentral:rRNA from 1 species
UACGUAGGGCGCAAGCGUUAUCCGGAAUUAUUGGGCGUAAAGAGCUCGUAGGCGGUUUGUCGCGUCUGCCGUGAAAGUCCGGGGCUCAACUCCGGAUCUGCGGUGGGUACGGGCAGACUAGAGUGAUGUAGGGGAGACUGGAAUUCCUGGUGUAGCGGUGAAAUGCGCAGAUAUCAGGAGGAACACCGAUGGCGAAAGGCAGGUCUCUGGGCAUUAACUGACGCUGAGGAGCGAAAGCAUGGGGAGCGAACAGGAUUAGAACCGU